rnacentral:lncRNA from 1 species
ACCUCCCACCCGACAAGACAAAAUAGGCGAAUGCACGCUUGCUGGGGUCACCAGGCGGGUAACGCUCAUGGUUAUGGUUGUCAUAGACAAUCUUUGAGUUAGGUGUUUUGACAGCUUCGACAGUGGCUGGGACUUCCGAAGCAAAACCUAUCUCAUUUCCUUGAGUAAGGACUUGAGAAGCGAAACCUGUAAAUAGCAUGACACAUUAAUAUAUAAACAUCAAGGCAAACUCUAUAUUUGGUCAAUUGUUCUAGAAGAAUAAGUAUUAAGCAACAAAGGACUACCACUAUCAAGAUGUGACCAUUAAUGUAUAAGCUUUUAAGGAAAAACAAAAGUACAUAAAAACGGAACCCAUGAGGUAUGAGAUGCAGGAUUAUAAGAGAUCCAUCCACCAAACAAUUCUACAAUCGUAUCAAACACAGGGGGAUUGAAAACUUAACAACUCUAAUCACCGUAGAAAACAAGAAAACAAAUUCAAUGAUCAACAUUGAAACACAACGAGAACAGAAAAUUGGCAUCAAGAAGCCAGUGUGAAUCACACUAUGGAUAACGCAACCCAGGGAUUUAAAAAAAAGAAGCUUUCCUCAUCAACCAAAGGAUUAUCUCUAAACAGGUCAAUUCAUAUUCCAUCAAUAAACUCAAAUGUCCAUUUGCUUCAGGACGAAAGAAGUAAUCAGAGAAGGCAAGUAUACCAAAUUCAUCCAAACAAUUCAACCAUAUCAAAUUCAGUGAAAGCUAAAAUACUAUAAUCACCGUAAUACACCAAGAAAAAAAAACUCAUAGAUCAAAUUACAGAAAUGCUUAAAACACAAAAAAACUCCCAUCCUAAGAACGCAAACCUCUCUUUGGUUAAGAGAACAUAAAAUUCAGAAUGCAAAUUUCUCAUCACGCCUUUAAAAAGCUAUAAAUCCUACAAAGAUAGUAUAUAAUAUAUAAAACAUACAUGUCCCUAACAAUGAAAAAAUACAGAUAUGGAUACACAGGAUCAAAUAUUCAGAAAUCAAGAAGCCAGUGUGAGUCAUACUAUGAUUAACGCACCCAAAACAGGAAACUUUCAUCGUAAAACGAAGGAAUAUCUCAGAACUGAACAAUCUACACGAAAGAAAAGCAAAGCAAUUCGAGCAAGGAGAAGAAAGUAACGAAAUGGUACAUGAAGCUCUAAUACACAUCAGGGAAUUCAAAUCAGAUGACAAGUUUGUUCCCACAGAUACGAUACUAGGAAUCUCAAUUAUUCCCGUGAUUCAUACAAGCAAGCAAAAAAAAAAAAAAAAAAAAGACAUUUUUUCAAAAAUCAAUCAAUCAAAUAAAACUGCUAACAACACCAGAAAUGAAAAAUCAAUGCAGAGAGAGAGAGAGAAAGGGCUGUUAUAGAUCGGCAAACCUCUGAUAAGGCUCCGGUGGUAAGAUGAGAGAUCAGCAGCGGGGACGGAUCUGGGAGCUGAAGAGGAGUCGCCGCCGCCAUCGGAAAGGGAAUGGUCACGGGAGACGACGAAGGAGGUCGCAGACGAAGAUCUCUGGGAAACAGAGAAAAGCCUCCUCCCUGCUACACGCAGCAUCUCUGCUCAAUGUGAAUCUAGGGUUUCGCUCUAGCUCAACAGAAGAAAUCCUCAGGUUUGGGACGGCUGAUGCAAAACACAAGACUUGUCCCUUAAAAUUUCUCUUUUAGAAAAGGUCAAUUUCUUUUUGUUUUUUCUUUUUACGUAUUAAUUAAUUCAUAUUUUGUAUAUUAAAAUUAUACUUAUGGCAUUUUAUUUUAUUUUGAUCUUUUUUUUUGGUUUUACAAUAAUAAUUUACUUAAAUUUUUCAUUUUUUAAGUAGAAUUGAGAUAAAAUUAUAUUUUACCUGACAUACAUAAUUUUAUCUGACUUUAAUAAAAAGGUGAUAAAUUAGAAAUACUUGAUAAAAUAGUAAUUUUUAAUAAUAAUAUUAGAUGGUGUAUACAUUCUGAAUUUCUGAUUGUUGUAAUGUUUUUUUUCCUUUUUAUUUCUUUUUUUUUUUUUUAAUGUUAAAAACUAGAUUUCCAACACAAAAAAAAAAUGACACAAUCAGAAUAUGACAGCUUUCAUCAAAAAAGUAGUCUCGAAUCGAUGUUCACAAAUUUGAUGGAAAAGGAGAUUUCUCACCAUAGAAGCGAAAGUUUAUGACUUUGUUGAGAUUUGAAGUGGUCUUCCAAAUGUUGUCUCCAGAUAAAACAUGAAAGGUUUAAAACACACCUUGAACCUUAGGAAGUUUUUGGCUCAAUUAUGAUAAUGGCUACAAACUCAAGGAAACGAUAUGUUACAUAUGAAUACAAAAGAAAAAUAGGCAUGAUACUAUUCAAAACUCUUUUCAAAUAAUAAACAGAGGCUAUGAACAGUGUAUUUCAACAGAUGAGACGGUCAUACAAUGACAAGUUUGUAUUAUUCAGCAAAACAAGACAAUCUUGCUGAGAGUCCAAAGUGUGAGGGAAGCGACCUUGCACGCUAAAAUGCCGGAAAAUAUUAAAACAAAAACAGAUUUAAGAUCAUUCAGACCAAGACCAAGACACUGAUUGUUGCGCUUUUACUCAUCAACCAAUGAGUAACUUAUUCUCUUCCAAGAAGCUGUAGGUUGGUACUUCCAGGUUGUAUGGUGCAGGACCUUUCCUAAUUCUUCCGGAGAUAUCAUAAUGCGAACCGUGACACGGACAAAACCAACCGCCAUAAUCACCAGCAUUAGGCAAGGGGAUGCACCCCAAAUGAGUGCAUACUCCAACCACAAUUAACCAUUCUGGAUUCUUGACUCUAACCGAGUCUUCUUGUGGGUCCCUCAAGGAUCCAACAUCCACACUAUUGGCCAGCUUAAUGUCAUCUUCUGUUCUUCGCCUGAUGAAGACUGGCUUUCCACGCCACUUGACUGUCACGGUAGUUCCUGGUUCGAUGCUCCCUAGGUCAACCUCAAGGGAUGCAAGGGCAAGGACAUCUUUACUUGCAGACAUGCUCACAACAAGCUUCAGAACAAGCAGGCGGAUAACCGAGGCAUAAACAAACCUCCCACCCGACAAGACAAAAUAGGCGAAUGCACGCUUGCUAGGGUCACCAGGUGGGUAACGCUCAUGGUUAUGGUCGUCAUAGACAAUCUUUGAGUUAGGUGUUUUGACAGCUUCGACAGUGGCUGGGACUUCCGAAGCAAAACCUAUCUCAUUUCCUUGAGUAAGGACUUGAGAAGCGAACCCUGUAAAUAGCAUGUAAGAUUAAUAUAUAAACAUCAAGGCAAACUUUUUUUCUGGUCAACUGGUCAACAACAAAAAGUAGUAAGCAAAAAUAUGUUGAAGAAAUAACACUAAAGAAAGGACUACCAGUAUCAAGAUUUGACAUUAAUGUAUAUGCUCCUAUACAAAAACAUAAGCACACAAAACGGAUACCAAGAGGUAACAGAAUUCUACCAUGAUAUUCAGAUCAAGUGAAAACUAAACUACUCUAUCUAACGCAAAAUCCAAGGAAACAAAUUUAAUGAUCAGAAAUGCUUAAAACACAACAAAACUCCUAAGAUAAGAUUGCAAACAUAGGUCUUUUGGUUAACAAAAUUAAAUUCCAGAUUCCUUUGCUGAUGCAAGUGACUCAGAGAAAACUAAACUAUUCUAUCCAACGCAAAAUCCAGUGAUCAGAAAUGCUUAAAACACAAUAAAACUCCUAAGAUAAGAUUACAAACAUAGCUCUGUUGGAUAACAAAAAUGGAAUUCCAGAUUCCUUCGCUGAUGCCUUUUUAGCUGCUAUAAAUCCUCCAAACCAGGUAUCUAGUAAUAUGAGGUGCCCAAAGACGAUAAAACAUCCAUUUACCUAAUAAUGAAUAAACUACAUGGAUACACAAGAUCAAAAUCGAUUAUCUCACUCAUCAAACAAAGGAUUAACUCAAAACUGGUCAAUUCAUAUCCGAUCAAUCACUAUUCCAGUAAAGAGAAGAAUGAAACGAAAUGGUACAUGAAGCUCUAAUACACAUAAUGGAAAUUCAAAAGAAAUGACAGAUUUUAAUCCCACGGAUCAUCUCGCAGCUACGAGAUACUAGGAAUAUCAAUCACUCCGGGGACUAAUACAAGCCCCCCAAAAAAAAAAGUGAUUUUUUUUAUAAUUUCUGAAUCAUUCAAUCAAUACCACCAGAAAGAAAAUCAAUCAAGAGUUGUAGAUCGGCAGACCUCUAAUAAGGCUCCGGUGGUAAGAAUUGAAAGAUGAGAGAUCUGCAGAGGGGACAGAUCUAGAGGCGGGAGAGGAGUUUCCGCCAUCGGAAAGGGUAUGGUCACGGGAGAGGACGAAGGAGGUCGCCGUCGAAGAUCUCUGCGAAACAGAAAAAAGCCUCCUUCCUGCUACUCGCAGCAUCUCUGCUCAAAUGGGUUAUGGCUGAUUCUAGGGUUUCGCUCAAAGCAAGAACACAAUCGUAAGGUUAGGGAUGGAUUGGCCGAUGCAAACAAAAAGAUUAGUCCUUUUUUUUUUUCGUUGCGGAUAUUCCUUUUAAUAGUCUUCGAGAAAUCGUCAAUUUGGUUUUUUACUAAUAAUACUCAAGAGACACAAUGACGGUGUUUCUAACAUGAUAAUUAUGUAGCUUCGUGGCACCUUAAUGUUCAUUCGUGAGUAUGAAUAAGCUACUUCGGUAUAAUUGGAAGAUUUAUUUCCCGAAUUGCCCACCUAUCCAAAUCGAAAUAGGAGAAAACAAUCUCAUUGAAAUUUGAUGUCUCGAAAAGCUUUAUUUCGAAGCAAACAACAAAAUGUAAAAUUGCGAAUGACAAAAUUCAAAACGAGAUAAGUGGCCAGCUAUAUAUUGUUUCCCAGGAGGGUCCAUAUUUAUUUGUCAAUUGGUGGCAUCAUCACAAGCAUGUUUUCUUGGGGAAAUUUCUCUCAAGAUUUUCAGAGGUUGCUGAAGUCAACAGGUUCACGGAGGAGCCUCUCCAUCUGUUGUGCCCUUGUCCUGAUAGACAUGUCCAACACCUUUUGUUGGAACUCUACGAUUAGUCCACCGUAGAUACUUGGAUCAAUCUGCAAAACACAUUACCACCAUUGACAUAGAUGCUUAGAUUCCAGUUUAUGGGUUAAUUAAUAAUGACAAGCCUGUGAUGCGUCUAAUUGCAUACCUUUUGUUCCACAGUGAUUUUUUUCCCUGCUCCAAUGAUCUCCUGAAGCGUCUCCGUCAGUUCUUUCUCCUCAGCAGGGGGAAGCGGCUGUUGGUCCAAAGUCCAAACCAUAUGUUUAAAUCCACAAUGCUGAGUUUUAUGGUUAUUUAAGAGAUAACAAGUAUUAAAACUAUAUCUUACCAUGACUGUGGUAACCAAAACUUUGACAUCUCCCCUAUGUGCGUUUGUCAGCUGCAUAAAUUUCUUCACAAUGGCAUCUAGGUUCUUCAGCUUUCCAUUCUCAGCUAACAAAGCUGUUUUAGAAUGCAAACAACUUUUUUAUAUCAAAAACAACAUGGUCAAUCAAAAUCAGAAAAACAAAGGCAGUUUCAAACUUAAAUUACAUACAGAGGAAGUUCUUGGUGGGUUCUGCAAACUUUGCUUGAUCACAAGCAUCCCUAAUAGCAGCCAAUCUUGUCCCUCUAGGAACAGAGGGAUCCUUUGUAAACUGAGCGAAAAUAGGAGCUGUCUUCAUUGCCUCGAUCAUCUCAGAAAGAUCCGACUCAAUCUUUUCCAAGGAAUUCAUUUUCACAGCUGCAAUGUAU